AUGAACGCUGGCGGCGUGCCUAAUACAUGCAAGUCGAGCGAACAGACGAGGAGCUUGCUCCUCUGACGUUAGCGGCGGACGGGUGAGUAACACGUGGAUAACCUACCUAUAAGACUGGGAUAACUUCGGGAAACCGGAGCUAAUACCGGAUAAUAUAUUGAACCGCCUGGUUCAAUAGUGAAAGACGGUUUUGCUGUCACUUAUAGAUGGAUCCGCGCCGCAUUAGCUAGUUGGUAAGGUAACGGCUUACCAAGGCAACGAUGCGUAGCCGACCUGAGAGGGUGAUCGGCCACACUGAAACUGAGACACGGUCCAGACUCCUACGGGAGGCAGCAGUAGGGAAUCUUCCGCAAUGGGCGAAAGCUUGACGGAGCAACGCCGCGUGAGUGAUGAAGGUCUUCGGAUCGUAAAACUCUGUUAUUAGGGAAGAACAAAUGUGUAAGUAACUAUGCACGUCUUGACGGUACCUAAUCAGAAAGCCACGGCUAACUACGUG
rnacentral:rRNA from 1 species